rnacentral:tRNA from 1 species
GUGUUGUGGCUCAUUGGUAGAGCGCUUGCCUAGCAUGUGUGAUGCACUGGGUUCAAUUCUCAGCACUGCAUA